AUGUCCCGUUAUCGAGGCCCUCGUUUAAAAAAAAUACGCCGUUUGGGAGCUUUACCAGGACUCACUAGAAAAACACCUAAAUCCGGAAGUAAUCUUAAAAAAAUCAAUUCUGGGAAAAAGGAGCAAUAUCGUAUUCGUCUUCAAGAAAAACAGAAAUUGCGUUUUCAUUAUGGUCUGACAGAACGACAAUUACUUAGAUAUGUACAUAUCGCUGGAAAAGCAAAAAGGUCAACAGGCCAGGUUUUACUACAAUUACUUGAAAUGCGUUUGGAUAAUAUCCUUUUUCGAUUGGGUAUGGCUUCAACCAUUACUGGGGCCCACCAAUUAGUCAACCAUAGACAUAUUUUAGUUAAUGGUCGUAUAGUCAAUAUACCAAGUUUUCGUUGCAAACCCAGAGAUAUUAUUACUACGAAAGAUAACCAAAGAUCAAAAGGUCUGGUUCAAAAUUAUAUUGCUUCAUCGGACCCGGGAAAUUGCCAAAGCAUUUGGCGAUUGACACGUUGGAAUAUAAAGGACUAG
rnacentral:rRNA from 1 species